rnacentral:sRNA from 21 species
CAGGGUAGAUAACACUGGCACGGGCGUAGGAGUUUCUCCACGCCCGUGCACGCAUGUCAGGGGCAGAUAAAACAUG